rnacentral:hammerhead_ribozyme from 1 species
GUACUGACGAAGAGUCCCAAACUAGGACGAAACUGCUUUCCAGUAC